GCCCGCUGCCGAGGCAGGCAGGAGUUGAACAGAUCUAUUGGAAUGAUUCAUAGUUUGCCUGUGUCACGUGCACAUACGGGGUUUUAACCCUUCCUUCGAACUACAACAGGAGCAUCUCGGAGGACAGACGUGUUCGCAAAGCACCAACGCGCUCUCCCACGGGAACACGCAGCGGGCCGCGCUCGGAUCCCCGCUUCCCCCCGGCCGUGUCACCUUUCCAGCCGACAGUAUUUACCUACACACGCGGCUUGUGUUUAGGAAUUUUAAAAAUUAUUUUCGGCUGAGAGUCGGUUCGUAUAAUAGGGCGUUAAUGAGGCAGGGAUGAAGAUGAAGUCGGAUGACUACAUAAAAGCUCCGCAAGAUCCGGGAGAAGGGUGCUUGUGCCCAAAAGUUUGCAAACAACUUUGUCCCAACUACUCCGUUGGUCUAAGAAAAGAUCUCACAUCUACCCAAGGACCCUUGCCUGUCAAAAGAUCCAACUAUUUAGCUGAAUGAGAUGAGAAAAAAUCCUCUUAAAUUUUGUUUUUGUUGUUUGAAUAGUUAGGUGAACUUCUAUUUGUAGAUUAGGAUAUUUUAAUAUUAGACCUGGAAAACCAAGCAACUUCUUCUGCCGCAGCCCGGCACAUACUUUUGAAGAGUGUCAGAAACCCCGCCAUGGCACUAAGGAUAGGUCAAGAGAUAAUGGCAUCAAAGAAACUCUAGACAAUACUUCAAACAAAAAAGGAGACUCGGAUCUAGUCCAUCUGUAUAACUGUGGUAUCUUUGGUGCUGGAUUUAGGAUGUCUCCUGUGUGCAGAUUUCUACUGUAGUGUCAGAAAAAAUAAAUAAAGGGACUGGUAAAGGUAUGCAGCAGGUAGAUCUAGAACAGAGAAGUUAAAGGCUCUCUGCCCAUGGGACUUCUGGAAACAGUAAGGGAAAGGUUUUAAUCAACUAACAAAUACGAGCAAGGGAUUGAGAGUCGAGACCAUAAGCUGUAAUUCAGCGACUGUGGCCGCAUCUACAUGUUCAUUAAUAUGCCUUAGAUACUGCACAUUUAGUCUAGUAUUUCCUUAAUAAAGUACUAACUAAAUGCAGAGUACCGAAAAGUUACUGCACAGUAACACCGGCACACAGUUAUUUAGUGACGCUUACUGCACAGUAGCCUAACAACACUGCGCAGUAGGGUAUUAGCACAGUCUGUGCCGUGACAUGCUACUGUGCGGGGCCUGCAAAUUUUAAUGUGCUUUUUUAUGGUAUCUACUUCUUGGGCAACAGGAGUGUUUUUAUAGUAUAUCAGCACUGGUUUCCAUGAUGUGCCCAAAAGAACUGCAAAAAUAAUUUACACGUGUGCCGAUUUUACGUUCUAGUGCAGACUCCGUGCCAUUAAACACUUAGUGAUAAACAGAGUUAUUAGGGAAGGUGUGCUUAUAACAUAAUCGGACAGUGAAGCAGAGGUUCUAGGUAUAUGAGAACAAAAGCCCUUUCUCAAAACCCCAAGCUUAUAUAAUCCAAAACCGGUUGGUCUGGCCAGCAAUAGGUGCAGGAAUGUCUAUUCACAAGUAAAUAUCAGGGGAGAAAUCCUGGCUCGAACUGGAGCCAGCAAGUUGUACUACUGCCUUGAAGAGAAGCAGGAUAUUCCUCCAGUCUCUCGCAGCCUACAGACUGUAUUGCCGAAGUCUGAAAAAGUCCUGUAGGUUUCAGAUUCCUGUAGUCUUCAUCAAGUGCACAAGUAUCACAGGGAAUAAGACCCAUAACUACUUGCAACUCAUGACAACAAUGAGUUGACCAGAAUAAUUCAAAUUCAACUGAAACAACGUUCAAAAUUCUGCCGCGCUUUCGACAUCGGUAGAAAGAGGGAGGAAUCUCGCACUGGCUUCUCGCUACGGCCAGCUGCUUCUCACUGAAUUUUACUGACACGUGACUACGCGGCUAUCGUUAUUACACAAAUCGCUGUUUUGUUUCCUUUUCUAGCCAGACAGCUUAAAUGCCAGGAUAAUUUUUCAAAAACACAGACCUAUCUUGGAGUUGAAUUCAUUGUCACUAAAUCUGCAUAUUUGGUACUAGUGAUGUACUGGCAUCCCCUCUUCAAAACGACUUCACUAACUAUAAAGUAAGAUCCUAAAGGUUGUCUGUACAAGACCCAAUCAUUUUAAGAAGAAUCGAAAAAAAAAGUUAAAAACCACACGAAUUGGAAGCACAUUAAGAAGAGGGCUAAGUACAGACAGCCAAAAAGCCUGGGGCUGAAUUGAUUCAAUCUUUACAGCCUAGAGUUCAUCUUAGCAGCCAGAAGCAAAGAAAUGGGCGUUCACUUUUCCACAAAGUUCAGAUGCUCAAUUCCUGGCGACAGGCAUCAGAAAUGCCAGGAGGUGAUGCUUGCUCUCCUGUGUACGUUUACGACGUCUUUCUUUGCUGUAAAUAAUCAUAAAACUCAACUGUGUGAUGUCGUAUCAGGAAUCAAGUCAAGACGUUAGAAUAUAACUUGAUAAAUGACCCAACAUCUGCUUUCGGAUGAUGAGUAAGAACGAGAAAAAAAGAUACAGCUCUCUGGACCAGGUGCCUUUUAAACAUCUGAGCAAAUCCAUCGGUUAAAAUCACGUUCAUAAAACAUUUCACUUCUGCAAGCGUAUACCCAGCCACCAGGAAAGACCGGCUCCGAGACGCUCGUUCCCUUUCGCUCUACGCACUCCUCACCCUCCUCCCUUCUAACCUUCCCUUUCAUUUUUUACCACUCGUUUCAGAGACAAAUCUCAGUGCCCUCGUCAUUCAUUAGCCUUUCCCCAGGCAAUUCUAGAGCUGGAUGACUGUGUUAGCAGUGGGCGCCAAGGCUUUUCCUAGGACUGUUAGCCUAAAGGGGUAAUAGUUAUGAGAGCUGUGCAUGACUAAUCUCCUCCCAAGGGCAACAGGUCACGUACGCUGUGAGCAAACAGGCUUCCCUAGCCCGGUGAGAAGUUCGGCAUGCCUGGGAGUCGUUCCCGGGCGUAAACUGAGAGGCGCAGCAAUUAGUGACUUACAACCCGUAUUUGUAACCCAGCCUUCCCAACGCUAAUCGCCGAGGCACCACGUAAAAGCAAACCGUGUUAGCAAGCCAUGCCCCACACCUGCGGGGCCACCCUUAACACCGAAAGUGCUGGGUUGCUUUGCUUUGAAAUGCUUUCUUCUUAGUAGCUUAACCUCUGCCUGUUUGAAAGAGUCCAACUUACAGAGAAAGGAGUUCCCAGUAUUUCCAGCCAGCAAGAAUUGACUACUCCUUCCAUCUACUCUGCCUCGUCAAAAGUUUGUCAUGAUCUCUUCAACAGCGUGGGGCAUUACUGCCAUGGCAAAGUUCCAGUUUUACUUCUGGUUGAACCUCAGUACCCGAAUUACUGCCUCUUUACGCUUCCUGUGUGGCUGAAAGGAGGUGGGGGAAAAAAUCACUGGAGGAUCCAUUCUGUUCUGGCCUUUGUUGGGCUGCUUUAAAAAUUAAUAAGCUAUUAUGCACACUUUACUACAUUUGUCCUUAGAAAACUAGUACAAGUGCUGACUCGAGACUUCCUGCAACACUAAAUUUAGCAUGUUUUGACUGUGUCAGAUGAACACAUUACUAGAUAGAUAGAUAGAUAGAUAGAUAGAUAGAUAGAUAGAUAGAUAGAUAGAUAGAUAGAUAGUCUUCAGAACUAAUUAUUGCCAGACUGUGAUCAAAGUCAGUAAAGUGUCUUAAUCCAACACCUACAUGCUGACAAGGAAUAUUCCCAGAGUACGCAGUGUAGAAGUUGUUAUGCAUUGCUCAUAAAUUUCUUUAAAGCAUAUAUGCAGCUGAUUCCAAGAAUAUAUACUUCAUUUUAUCUGUCUACUGUACAACUAGCGGCUCUAGAUCUGUAUCAUUACUAUUUCAAAAGCUUUAAAAAAACCCAAAAACCAAAAAACAAGUUUAUACUAUUGUGUUCGGAUACACAAAACCCACAUAAAAAGGGGCAGAUUCAAGAUAUUAUGGUGAGUCUUUUCACCUAAGUCACUGAAAUAUUUUAACUCUCCAUUUUCCAUGUACUUCGAUUGCUUGGCCCUCCUUGAAAGGGUAUCAGCUUUCUUCACUGCUGGGGGAAGAGCCAUGCCUGUUCACACUCGUACCUAAACAGCGACCUGCACCUAUUUUACAGGUUUGCAAAAGCGCUGCCUAUUUCUUCCAGGUACUACAUGUUCCAGUACUAUCAUCUAUGGGGCAACAAUUUUGUGCAAUAAUCUUUCCAGAAGCAAAAAUUGCUCAGAACCUUUGCAGCUCUGUUUUAAUUAAAAACCCCCACAUUAUGUUCAUCAAUAUUUAAGCACAGAGCUUAGGGGCAGGACGGAUCUAUUUCAGGACACCUUCAUAAUUCACAAAGAACGAUGCUAUUAGGUUCACACAUGAGAAUAAGUUUACAAGCUUAUUAGCCAGAGUUAAAAAUAAGUGUUGUACAAGAGGCUCUAUUCCUAGCAAUUAAGCAAACAUACAAUGAGAACAAAACCCUAUUUUUAAUAGAGGGUAGACCUCACCUAUUUAAAUAGAUUGAACAUGGGAGCGUUAUAUUUAUCGCCAUGUAAUGGUAUCUUGUCUUAGUGUUCGAUCUCAAAUAGCACAUGACAGUGAAAAGCAUGAUGCGUGGGGCGAUUUCUGGUCUGAAUCUCCUGCUCCUGGGACCAUUUUCAUGUUGAUCAGAAACCGCCACAAAUAGUCACGACAGACAAGACUUGGGGAGACGCACACUUCGUUACAGUCAAUGGGCACGUCUUUUCCAGGUUUUCCUCUAAGGGACCGGCCCUGUAAUACAAACACUCUGCAAACGUCCAGCUUCCAGCCCCGAGAGCAUUUUAGUCUAGGAGCAUCUUGGGCCAAGUAAGGGGUUGUUCCCACACAACGAGGGCUGCACAACGUGAUCCUCUCCCCUCGUAAUGAAAAGAAUACGAGCGAUUAUCUCAGGCUGUCGUCACCCUGGGUUCGUCGCGGGCCUCCGAUUCCAGCAAACACGGCCCAUGAACAGCUCGGUAUGACCACAUCGCACCAGUCGUACAGCUGACUGCAUUAUUCAAGCAUUGCUGGGUACCCUUUUCUUCUUUUAUUAUUGACAUUCAUGCCACCUACAACUCGCACAUACAGCUCUGCACAAAGAAAUAACAACCCCUACUUCUCCCUUGGGGGAAACAACAUUCUAUACAUCUGAAUUAUACUUUUCCAAAAGCUACUUCUUUCUUGCUUUACGUGCCUACAAAUAUGGGCGAUUAUGCUAAUGCUCACACCGAGCGGGAAGGUCAGGUUACAACAGGCCUGUGUACUGCACAGCGUGCGAUAAAAUGCACUAAAACUAUAAAACCUUGAAGGCUGGGGGAGCUCAGGCUCUCCGUUCCCUGGUUCUGACCCAGAUUUUCACCACCAGCUCACUUACUUUGCUGUUACUCUUUUACCCAUUUCAUUCAUCAUCAAUUAUUUAUCUGUAGCGCAAGCAUUUUUCAAGGUAUCAGCCUGACUUCAAACUUCAAUUUGUGCUGAAACAUGGACAAAGGCCACAAGGCAGCUUCCCUUCCAUCGCGGCUGUUAGUUAAUUUGUCUGUGUUAUACUCGGGCUUCAGAAACUGUUGAAGACCUAAAGUGUGCCUUUGCAAGGCUGCAUUGUUCUUGAUUUCCAGAGUCUAGCUCUCAUUCAUGCCCUGUUAUUCACAUUAAUAUACUGCUUUUGAAAUCAUGUCCUAUUUAAGAACAGUCGAACACUAUCUGUCUGAACUGUGCAGUACAACUUUGGGUUCACUUGGGAUUUGCCGCACACUAAAGUCAGUAUUUUUACAUGCACAUCAAAUCACAAGUGAAGAGGUGUUCUCUGUGCCCGUUAUUUUGGGCUUUAUGCUGUUCAGCAUCUAUCAGUUACUUUGCAUUCGAAAUAGCCUCUUGACGCACACAAAAUAUACGUUUCUGUAAUGUUCAUCUUUGUCUCAUCCCCUCAAAUCUUUCAUGAAAUAAAUGGACUUUAGCAUUCUGGUGUCACAUAGAUGAAAUAAGACCUGCGAGAUGUUCAAUGCUUUCCAGGGAUCUGCUAUUGAAGCACAGUUCUUUCCAGUUUACAACUUCUCUUUUUUUAUGAGCGAUGGACCAUUCCCCAUACCUGCCUAACAAGCGCUGCUCGCCCCAGGUGUGCUUGCAGCCUUUCACAAGCAGUGAAGCGUGGCGUACUCACACCUGCUGGAGAAAGGCAGCGUAUGGAGCCAAAUGCAGUAAAGUGUGCAUAAUAGCUUAUUAAUUUUUAAAGCAGCCCAACAAAGGCCAGAACAGAAUGGAUCCUCCAGUGAUUUUAUGACUGAUCUAUUGAGGUCCCUUCCGACCCUAACAUCUAUGAAUCUAUGAAUCUAUUUACACCCAAAGCCUUGACUGCUAAAAAAAAUUCUGAACAAGUUUGGUUAAACACCUAAAUUCAUGAAAGCCUUUGGCCACUGCAUCCAUGUUUUAAGUCCCGUACCCAAAUUUUAAAAUGUCAAUAUAUUAACUCAGUUCUUGAUAAUUUUGACCCUCUCUUUCGGUUCUCAAGUUCUCUUUUCUUCCCAGCCAGGCUAGCUAGAAAAACAGGAUCAGAGCAACUAAAUUAUGGGACUCUUCUGUAUUCAGGCAAGCUGCUUGGGGCAUUCAAAGUAAGAGGAACACGUUCUCUCAGGUUGUGCGAGACAAUAAAUAUACACAUCUCCACACGCUGCAUCUAACUCCAUUGUGUCAACAGGAGCUGGGGUCUCCAGAGAAAUACCGAAGUCGUCUCAGGAGCACCAUCUGAUGGGCUUUCAUUUUGGUUCACACGGUGGCCUUGCUACUCAAAGGUUUCCACUUUGGCCUCUGCCUGCAAUAGAAUAGGGGGGUUUUUUGCAAGCAAUUAAAAGUCUUCAGCUGCUGUUUGUUUGCUCUUGAACAGGAUCAUAUUUUUGGCUCAUAAACAGGAUGAUAACCCAAGAAGUAUGUUUAGGUCCAGACAACUGCAACAUCCUGGAAGUGUUGUUUGUACUCCUGGACCUCCAGGACUCUGCACCUGCAAUGUCUACCUCUUUCUAAAUAGGACCGGGACUCUCUCAUGCACUAUCCCAGGCUAUACUACCAAGAAAAGGGGAGCAGUUUCAUUUUCCCUCAUUAGUAUGCUUUUGCUCUUUAUAUUUGUCCUUUUUAGUUGCUUUGCACUGCCUUGUCCCCCAGGCAGCAAUGCAGUGAGCUCAGCAGAGCCAAAGGAAGAGGGAUCUUUCCACUAAUGCACUGAAGUGGGAGUGGGCGAGGGAUCUUUCCACUUUGCACCAAGACAAAAUGUAGGGGUAGGACACCUGUCAACCGGUUCUAGUGUCUGAAUGCAUCUCCCGGUCACCAAACCGCCACGCAACAAUUAGCAGCAUCUAUUCCAAGUUUGUUGAGUGAAAUGGCAGAGGUAUUUUUAAACACAGAUUACAGCACAGGGACUUUGUCUAGGACCCACCCUCGGUGAACUCUCUUGUGUAAAUUAAAACAGUGGCUAUCUCUGUUAAUGAUUAAACUAAAUGACUAUUUUCUAUUCCUA